UGGGGAAUAUUGGACAAUGGGGGCAACCCUGAUCCAGCAAUGCCGCGUGUGUGAAGAAGGCCUGAGGGUUGUAAAGCACUUUCAGUGGGGAGGAGGAUUUGAAGGUUAAGAGCCAUUAAAUUGGACGUUACCCACAGAAGAAGCACCGGCUAACUCCGUGCCAGCAGCCGCGGUAAUACGGAGGGUGCGAGCGUUAAUCGGAAUUACUGGGCGUAAAGGGUGCGUAGGUGGUUAAUUAAGUUAGAUGUAAAAGCCCUGGGCUUAACCUGGGAUUGAGAUUUAAUACUGGUUAACUGGAGUAUUGGAGAGGGUAGUGGAAUUUCCGGUGUAGCGGUGAAAUGCGUAGAGAUCGGAAGGAACACCAGUGGCGAAGGCGGCUACCUGGCCAAAUACUGACACUGAAGCACGAAAGCGUGGGGAGCAAACAGG
rnacentral:rRNA from 1 species